GGAAUAUAAGAAUCCGUCUCUUAACUUUUAACUAAAAAAGCUAAGAACCGAUUCUUAAAUAAGAGUUUUAAAAGUUGUUCUUAACUUUUUUAGUUAAAAGUUAAGAGAGAGUUCUUAUAUUCC
rfam:Brassica napus, WGS project CCCW01000000 data, contig: 8067